UCUUCUACAUGUGGAAGAGCUUUUUUAAUAGAGAUCAACGACCGUAGAAAUUAACUUGCACGCUCGUGCUGUGUGAGUUCAUCGUCCCAGGUAGCUGCCGUCCCGAAUUAGGGACUUGUCUACUGCAAUGUAAUAGUGCGGUGUUAUUUUUUAUUAGUACAUGUUAUAGGUAUGGGAGUGGGUAAGGGUAUGAGUUAAUAUGGACCAGUUUAAAUAUUCCCGGUGGGUUUUUCUCCUCUAAACGAGAAGAGUAGAGCUCACAGUGGUACGCACAUCUGCGCAGAGCGGAUGCAGGCUGCAUUUUACGGUCGUCCAAUGCAGCAGAGCACAAAUUCAACAUUCGUACCACCCGCACCCUCUCUACUCAGAUAUUACCUACUCCUCAACUUCCUUCACUUCCACCUUCUGACACAACGACUUCUAUAAUUAGAAGUUCCUUACCACGUCGAUGUAUGACCAAUAUUUUAACAGGAAUCGCUCUAAAAGGUUUACAAGGCAAUGUUUAUAUUUAGUCAUUUUUAUUAUUAUUUUCAGAAAUAAAAUAAUAAAUAUUUACAUAUUGCAGUGUCCAUCAAUUACAAGGCAAGCUAUCAGAUGUUCUGAUCUCGAUGCCAACAUUGAGAAUUGACUAAUUAAUAGGCGAUCAGUAUGCGGGUUAACGAUUGAGGACGGUUAAACUAGAAGUGUAUUUUUAUAUGCAGGGUAAAUUAAUUAAAAAUUAAAAGAUGGGAUUAAAGAAGAAGAUAAAGUACCAGACACACUUGUUCAUAAGCAUCUUUAAAAAUAAUCGAUAAAGUCUCUUGCGAUUGCUGUUCAUUCAAUCAUCUCUCGUCGCAUAUGCCUAAAAAUUUUAACGCAUGUGAUUCUACAUCCGUUAUUUGAUGGAAGGAAUAAUAAUAAUAAUAAUAGUAAAAAUGAGGAACCACUUCCUUUUUUUUUCUCAAUAAUUAAGCAAUGAAGGAAUUAUAUUUACUGAUGAUUAUAAUAAUCGGGAAGGCAUCAGUUACCUACAACUUUUUUGCCAUUGUAUCAAAUGCCUAUAAUAUUUUUUCGCACAUAAUAAAUGUAUACUGCUCAGUUUCUUACUGCUCAGU